UGGAGCAGCUGUAACUUUUCAUGGGCUCCAAAGUUCAGUGAGGAGCGGCAACAUUCCCGGACAACUCCCGUGUAUUAAUUACACGUAUAUUUAAAUUCUAAUUGCACCCCAAAUCCAGACUUCCUGGUGCCAGACAACUUGUUCAUUCCUCAGUCAAGUCCACUUUCUCAUGCUUACUCUAUGAAAAGGGCACCCAUGAUAGGGUCGGGGUCCCCCCUCUAGAAUGCAGACCUCCUUAUUUGAGAACAGAGAUCUCCCCAGGCUGCCCUCUUGGAAGGACAGAGGGCAGAAGCCUUACUGAGCCAAAGAUCCUGGUAUCUGGAGAAGGGCAAGUGCGGCAUUCCAUUUUGAGAGGGGACAGGUGCAGAUAUCCCUGGUUUGGUCAGCUGAACUUGAAGACCAGUGCCAAGAGUAACUCACUCACCGCUGGUCACUCAGUGACCCAGGUUCCAAGCAAGUCUCUCACAAAGCUUUAAUGAGUACAUGCCCCUGGAGUAAAGUAAUGAAGACAAUACUGAGUGCUGUACAGUCAUGCCUCACUUAACGACAGGGAUAUGAUCUGAAAAACACAUCUUUAGGCAAUUUUGCCAUUGUGGGGACAUCACAGAGUAGUAUAUUUUCAUAAACCUAGAUGAUAUGGUCUACUACACACUUAGGCUAUAUGGUCUAGCCUAUUGUUCCUAGGCUCCAAACCGGCACAGCAUAUUACUACACUGAAUGCUGUAGGCAAUGGUAACAUAAUGAAUACCUGCCAGACUCUCGUGGAAUGCUUCGAACCUAUCAUCAGAUGGAGUGCUAGUGGCACCUGGGAGAAGUGGGUGAGCACCAGGUGUGGCUGAAGCCUGCAGAGCUCCUGUGGGAUCAGUGAGUGGAAGCACCUGUUCCCACGUUAAUGAAGCGUUUGCUCAAAGCAUUAGUCUCUCUGCCACUGGAUAUUUUAGUUGGUCUAUGGAGAAUCAACCCAAGAGUCCUGCAUCUAGCAUAAGAAAAAAAGAGAGAAACAGUGCCCCAUUAGGCCAAUGUGUCAAUGGUAGGAUCAGACAUAGACCCCAAAGGAAGUGAGUCUUGGGUGAAAGCCAAGGCCAUAAGGACCACCCAAUGCCAACCCUGAGUUCUGAACUUUAUUUUUACUGAGAAAAGUGAAAUUUCCUCACAGCAAUAGGCAAAAAUGGAAAGCUAUCCUGGCACAUAAGUAUAGAAUGCCACCAGAGACAAGCAGCUGGCAGAAAAAGCCAGGCCGCCAGCAACAGAGACAAAGAACUGUGAGCUUGAGAGGCUAUGGCAGAUGACGAGGGAUGGACAGUGAGGGAGAAAGAGACUCAGAUGCAACAGAGGCUUGGUGGCUAGUCUUGGGACCCAACCAGGGCUUAUUGUAAAAUAAGCACUUGGUAACUUUUUAUAUCUUUCCCUUGGCAACCAGGAAACUCAAAGUUAAAUUUUAUGCUUCAUUUA